GACAAAGGUUCUGAUGAGGUUGUAUUCAAGGCCAUGGGGAGGGCUAUCAAUAAGACUGUCAUGGUUGUGGAAUUGAUCAAGAGGAGGAUUGUUGGCCUCCAUUAGAAUACCACCACUGGAUCUACUGAUAUUACUAAUAUGUGGGAGCCAUUGGAAGAAGGCCUACUUCCGCUUGAGACAACAAGACAUGUCUCUAUGAUCACUAUAACUCUUUCAAAGAAGGAGCUGGACACAUCAUCUAUCGGAUUAUUGCAUGCAAGCUAUUACCAAAUCUGGAUUUGUGGAGCCAACACCUAUUCAAUCUCAAGGUUGGCCUACGACUUUGAAGGGUAGGGACCUGAUUGGUAUCGCUCAAACAGGCUCAGGGAAAACAUUAUCUUAUUUGUUACCUAGGGUGGUUCAUGUUGGUGCCCAGCUUCGGCUAGAACAAGGUGAUGGCCCAAUUGUGUUAAUUCUCACUCCCACAAGAGAACUAGUUGUUCAAAUACAGGAAGAAUCUACAAAAUUUGGAUCAUAUUCAUGAACUAGAAGCACAUGUGUCUAUGGUGGUGCACCUAAGGGUCCACAAAUACGGGACCUUAGAAGAGGAGUUGAAAUUGUCAUUGCAACUCCUGGCCGGUUGAUUGAUAUGAUGGAAGCUGGUCACACAAACCUACGUAGAGUGACAUACCUUGUGUUGGAUGAGGCGGACCGGAUGCUAGAUAUGGGGUUUGAGCCCCAAAUUCGAAAAAUAGUAGCACAAAUCCGCCCAGAUAGGCAAACCUUGUACUGGAGUGCCACAUGGCCUAGAGAAGUUGAAGCCUUAGCAAGACAAUUUCUACAAAAUCCUUACAAGGUAAUCAUAGGCUCACCUGAACUUAAAGCUAAUCAUUCCAUACAACAAAUUGUUGAAGUUAUUUCAGACCAUGAGAAGUAUCCAAGGUAUGUAUGGUUGACGGUCUUUUGACUAAAAACUUUUAUGCUCACUUACUAUGCUACUUUCGAUUACAAAUGGACAUGAUGUGAGUUGAUUUUCACCUCUUUCCCAUAGACUCAGUAAGCUCUUGUCUGAUCUAAUGGAUGGGAGUCGUAUAUGAAAGGGAAUUAGGCUUACACCUAGUCCCUAAUUUAUUUUGGUGGUUGAAUUGCCCAACACAAAUAAUUGGACUAACUAGUUUGCUCUAGUGUACAAGUUAUACAGGUGCCAAAGGUUCACACUUAGCCAAUAAAAAGACCAAAUAUUGGGUUCAACAAAAGAGCAAAGGGACAACCGAAGGCACCUCUGGUCUGGCGCACCGGACUGUCCGGUGUGCCACCGGACAUGUCCGGUGUACACCGGAGGACUCCAACUCGAACUCGUCACCUUCGGGAAAUUCCAGAGGCAACUCCGCUAUAAUUCACUGGACUGUCCGGUGUACACCGGACAUGUCCGGUGCUCCAAGGAAGAGCGGCCUCCGGAACUCGCCAGCCUCGGGAAUUAAUUUCAGCUGCUCCGCUAUAAUUCACCGGACUGUCUGGUGUACACCGGACUGUCCGGUGUAACAGCGGGGCAACGGCUACUUCAGGCGCCAACGGCUACCUGCGACGCAAUAAAUGCGCGCCAGCGCGCGUAGAGGUCAGGCACGCCCAUGCUGGCGCACCGGACACUCUACAGUACAUGUCCGGUGCGCCACCGGACAUCCAGGCGGGCCCAGAAGUCAGAACUCCAACGGUCGAAUUGCAACGGCUUUGGUGACGUGGCUGGCGCAUCGGACUGUCCGGUGCACACCGGACUGUCCGGUGCACCAUCGAAUAGACAGCCUCCACCAAACGGCUAGUUUUGGUUGGUGGCUAUAAAUACCACCCCAACCGGCCACUUCAAGGUGUGGGAGUCCAAGCAACAUUCCAAGUCAUCUAGUUGACAUACUCAAGCCCUCCCAACCACAUAUAUUCAUUGAUCCAUCCUAUACACAAGAUUUAGACCACUACAACCAACACAAGUGCCACAAAAGAGAGAGGAAGCAAAAGAGAGCUACUCAUUUGAGUUUAGCACUAGUGCCUUGUGAGAUUCAUCGAGAGAUAGUGGGUGCUUCAUCUUUGUGUUCAUUUGCGCGUGGAGUUUUGACUCCCAUUGAACUUCCUCCAAAGUUUUGGAGGCUUGUAAAAGCUAGCAAGAGACACCAAAGUGUGUGGUGGUCCUUGCGGGAUCGAGAGUGAUCCUUGAGAAGAAGAAGAGCUCGCCGAUCCUUGUGUGAUCGGGGGAGAGAGGGAAAGGGUUGAAAAAGACCCGUCCUUAAGUGGACUCCUCAACGGGGACUAGGCCUUCGAGGGCCGAACCUCGGUAAAACAAAUCACCCGUGUUCAUUGUGUUUAUUGCUUGUGAUUUGUUUGUUUUCUCGUACUCUAAGUUUUUCUUGCUCCAUUCUUUGCUAAUAUCAUUUGGUGUUGCUUCAAGUUAAAUUUCCAUUUAGUGAAGCAACACGUUGCAAGAAAGAACUUGUCCUAGUGCUCUUCUCAUCUAAGGCUUCUUGCUUUGUUAUUCUAUAACUCAUUUGAUUCAUCACUCCCGCAUUAUUUAGCAAUACUCUUUUCAAGCAAGAACUUAGUUUGUAUACUCCUAUAUUUGUAUAUCUUGUUCUAACCACUAAUCAAGGGAUCUAGUUGGGGGAUAAAGUUUUAAUUUUCAGGUUUCGCCUAUUCACCCCCCUCUAGGCGACUUUCAGUAUCUUGAUAUUCUUCCAAACAAAAAAGGAUUGCAAUAAGAUCACCCGGCAGCUUAGAAUGGAUGGGUGGCCAGCAUUAUCUAUACAUGGUGAUAAAGCUCAAGCUGAACGGGACUAUGUUCUUGCAGAGUUUAAGAGCGGCAAGAGCCCCAUAAUGGCUGCCACAGGUGUGGCAGCACGUGGUCUUGAUAUGAUGAUUUAUUUGAAUAUUAGGAUUAGGUAGUAGUUCCAAGUGCUCAAGGAUGGUAAGUCGGAGGGUUGUUGAGCUGCGAUUGCUUGAGUAAACUGAACUUGUGGAUUGGUGGUGUAUACCAAGGUGCCAUCAUGUCAAAGGUAGAUAAUUUCCCCUUUGGUUUACCUCAUUUGAGCGUGAGCAUUGGUAGUGUUACACAGGCAGUUCAACUUUGAGCUAUCAUGGUAAUGUUCCCUU